AAUCAACGCUGGCGGCGCGCUUAACACAUGCAAGUCGCACGAGAAAGGGAGCAAUCCUGCGUAAAGUGGCGUACGGGUGAGUAACACGUGGGAAUCUACCUCUUGGCGGGGAAUAACCCUGGGAAACCGGGGCUAAUACCGCAUAAGCUCGUGAGAGGAAAGCAGCAAUGCACCGAGAGAGGAGCCCGCGGCCGAUUAGCUAGUUGGUGGGGUAAUGGCUCACCAAGGCGAAGAUCGGUAGCCGGCCUGAGAGGGCACACGGCCACACUGGCACUGAAACACGGGCCAGACUCCUACGGGAGGCAGCAGUGGGGAAUCUGGCACAAUGGGGAAACCCUGAUGCAGCGACGCCGCGUGAGCGAUGAAGCCCUUCGGGGUGUAAAGCUCUUUCGACAGGAACGAUAAUGACGGUACCUGGAGAAGAAGCUGCGGCUAACUACGUG
rnacentral:rRNA from 1 species